GGGUCGCGCGCGCGGGUUUCCCCACCAAAACGACGCCUUUUUGUUAACUUAUUAAAACUAAUUUUUUUUACAAAAAUUCAUUUUUUCAGUUGAAAACAAAAAAAAUUCUUUUUCUCUCUGUUUUUCAAAAACCCGAUAUCCCCUCCCCCUUUUGAAACGCCGGUCACAUGGCACCACCGUCGACGCGCCGUUGCCAUGGCUAGUGGCGGACGACGAAAGAAAUGGGCCUCUCGGCCUUGGCUUCGCAGCGCAAGAAGGUUGGGUCUUCAACCCGAGGGACUGAAGAGACUUUAGAUCCUGUUUAAGGCCCGAUUCCGACGACGGCGGAAGGGCCUCCGUCGACUGAGCCACGGGCAGUUCAGGUGGAGCAGGUGGUGCAAGUGGGCGAAGCAGUGGCGGUGGCAGAGGGUAGGUGACGGCGGCGGCAGUAGCAGAAAGAUCAGAAGAGGCGGCUAGGGUUAGGGGGAUUAGGGUUUUUGAAAUGAUUUUAAAAUUUUGGGCCACUGGGCCUUGUAAUUGGGUCUGCUGGUAUGGGUUAGUGUUUAGGUGGGUUAUUGGGUCAGCCUGGGCCUUAGGCAAAAUUGGGCUGUACAGUGAAUUAAACAUACUUAGACAUAGGAAUGGAGAUAUGAGUCUCUAAAUAAAUAGGAAACCGACUCGUGUCCAACAUUCCCUCCCUCCCUCCCGAUUCAGAAGAUGAUGAUUUAGUUCCUAAGUUAUAAAAGAUUAUUUAUUUGGGAGUUGAACAAGAAAGUGAAGAAAUCUACAAGUACCUGUGGGAGCAUUUCACGAAAGACCUGAUAAUGAAGAGGAUCAGAAUCACAUAAAGUUCCAUCAACAUCAAAUAAUACUGCUUCUAAAGGAGCAAGAUCAGGAACAGACUUCUUGCUGAUUUCCAAAAGCAAAAAAAAAACCAAAAAAAAAGUAAACGAUUUACUUAUCCAGAAAGAAAUGAAUUCGCUGCUAGCUAUGCAUGAACGAAAUAAGAGAAGCAAGAAAAAAAAAACCCCAAAUUGUUACAUUUUAUCAAUGAUAACUCAUGUUUGAAAACUUGGAAUAUAUAUAUAUCCAACACAAAUGCUCCCAUAUAUAUCGAAUUACCCACAUCUGAACAGAGUUUUCACCAGCCGUCAUUGUGAAAGAAAUUUCUUCAGCAAAAUCUGGUUUCCAAGUAUGGUUAUUGAGUUUAAGAGCAAAGAAAAAUGGAAGUCUGAGAGAAGGAAUGUAGCAAAGAAUCCAGAUCCAGAUACCGGAACUGGGCCUCAAAUGUCCGUUCUCUACUUCUUUUUCGAGUGUCAGCAAUUUAUUUAUUAUUUGGGACCGCCAAUGUUGUACAAAUUUUCAAAUAGGACCCUGAAAUUGAAUUGGCCGACAUUGUAAUUAAAUUUGAAUUAAAGAUGUGAUUUGAAAAAAUGAAAUUAUUUAUUAUUAAAUUAUG